AACGCACAUUGCGCCCCUUGGUAUUCCAUGGGGCAUGCCUGUUCGAGCGUCAUUUGUACCCUCAAGCUCUGCUUGGUGUUGGGUGUUUGUCUCGCCAUUGCGCGCAGACUCGCCUUAAAGCAAUUGGCAGCCGGCAAAAGCCUGGGAGCGCAGCACAUGCGUUGCUUUCAGACUGCUUGUCGAGCGUCCAGCAAGCCUAUUAUUCUUGCGUUUGACCUCGGAUCAGGUAGGGAUACCCGCUGAACUUAA
rnacentral:misc_RNA from 2 species